CAAUAGCGUAUAUUAAAGUUGUUGCAGUUAAAAAGCUCGUAGUUGGAUCUAAGGAUUUGGACGGAUGGUGCGCCUUCGGGUGUAACUGUCUGUCCUGCCUAUCACAGUCGUGGAAACCUUUAGUGCUCUUCAUUGAGUGCUUUUGGUGCCCGACGAAAUUACUUUGAGAAAAUUAGAGUGCUCAAAGCAGGCAUAAUGCUUGUAUACUGUUGCAUGGAAUAAUAAAAUAGGAGUUUUCUUCUAUUUUGUUGGUAUUCGGAAGUGAACUAAUGAUCAAAGGGGACAGACGGGGGCAUUUGUAUGGAGGCGCUAGAGGUGAAAUUCUGUGACCGUCUCCAGACAAUCUACUGCGAAAGCAUUUGCCAGGAAUGUUUUCAUUAAUCAAGAACGAAAGUCAGAGGUU
rnacentral:rRNA from 2 species